rnacentral:lncRNA from 1 species
CUUUUCUUCUGAGUAAUAGCAGGCACUCUCAGGCUGUCAGAUGAUAUGCCACCUCAUGCUGAGAAGAGAGAAGAAAUAAACAUAGAAGAACAGGGUGCAGAGUUCUGCAAACUGGUGGCCACACACAUGAGCCCAACACUAUGUGGGGACUUCCUAGGAGCUAUUCUAUGGACUGUGUGAGGCCUGCCUUCCUUCUGCUGCUGGAUCUCAGUUUUCUUUGCAUCUUCUGAGAAAGCAAGUUCCCAGGUGUUUCAACAAUGGGUCUCUGAAAUGCUGUACUCUAAAGGCAGGACUCACUUCAUGUAAACCUUCCUGCUGAGAGGAAAGAUUUAAAACUGUGCUCAUCUGAUUCAGAACAUACGUGGGAUUCACCAGUAUGACACCUCAACAAAUGGCCUCUUCACACAUGUCAACAACACUCAUUUCACAACUAUUUAUUGAUUAUCUAUAAUAUGCAAGUUAUAGUCUGAGCACUAGGUAUACAGCAGCAGGCUCUUUUCAUGGAAGAUACACGAAAUAAGUAAGUAAAUAGUAGAGGCAGCUAUUUUCAUUUGAACUGGGAGGGAAAGCCUUUCUGAGCAGAAGACUUUGAAUGAAUUUCUAAAAGGAGUCAGUCAAGCGAAGACAUGGGAAAAUGGCAUUCCAGGCAGGGGAACAGACCACUUAAAGGCCCUGAGGCAGAAACAAGUUUGGUGAGUCUGGAGAACCAAAUGAACAGUAGUUGGGAAAAGCGAGUCAGCAACAGAGACAGUAGACUGACAUGAGGUUGGGUGGUAAGUCAUGGACUAGAUCAUACCAGGCCUUGUAGGCUCUGGUUAGAAUUUUUGAUAUGAUUUAAUUACAGUGGGAAGCCCUUGGAG